CGCACCUUGCGCUCCCUGGAAUUCCUAGGAGCAUGCCUGUUUGAGUGUCAUGAAUUCCUCAAACCCCAAUGUUUUGCAAAAUCCAUUGCUUGGGUUUGGUUUUGGGCCCUUAUUGCCGCUUCACAGCAGCUGGCCUUAAAGAUAUUAGCUGGACCUUCGAUCUUUGUAUCGAGCCUCCAUUUGAUGUGAUAAUUUUGCAUCGGUGGGCCAAGGGCUCUUUGCUAAUCGCAGGAGGUCUGCUUCUAACCCGGCGAGAAGUUCCAUCUUCGACCCACUAUUCAUUUACAACUCUGGCCUCAAAUCAGGUAGGAUUACCCGCUGAACUUAA
rnacentral:misc_RNA from 1 species